rnacentral:rRNA from 1 species
AGUGAACGCUGGCGGUAGGCCUAACACAUGCAAGUCGAACGGCAGCACAGUAAGAGCUUGCUCUUACGGGUGGCGAGUGGCGGACGGGUGAGGAAUACAUCGGAAUCUACUUUUUCGUGGGUGAUAACGUAGGGAAACUUACGCUAAUACCGCAUACGACCUACGGGUGAAAGCAGGGGAUCUUCUGACCUUGCGCGAUUGAAUGAGCCGAUGUCGGAUUAGCUAGUUGGCGGGGUAAAGGCACACCAAGGCGACGAUCCGUAGCUGGUCUGAGAGGAUGAUUAGCCACACGGGAACUGAGACACGGUCCAGACUCCUACGGGAGGAAGCAGUGGGGAAUAUUGGACAAUGGGGGCAAGCCGGAUCCAGCAAUACCGCGUGGGGGAAGAAGGCCUUCGGGUUGUAAAGCCAUUUUGUUGGGAAAGAAAAGCAGCAGGUUAAUACCCCGCUGUUCUGACGGUACCGAAAGAAUAAGCACCGGCUAACUUCGUG